rnacentral:rRNA from 1 species
GACGAACCGUGCGAACGUUGUUCGGAAUCACUGGGCUUAAAGGGCGCGUAGGCGGGCUGGCAAGUCAGGGGUGAAAGCCCACGGCUCAACCGUGGAAGUGCCCCUGAUACUGCCCGGCCUGGAGGGAGGUAGGGGCGUGCGGAACUUCCGGUGGAGCGGUGAAAUGCGUAGAUAUCGGAAGGAACACCGGUGGCGAAAGCGGCGCGCUGGACCUCUUCUGACGCUGAGGCGCGAAAGCCAGGGGAGCAAACGGG